rnacentral:rRNA from 1 species
AUUGAACGCUGGCGGUAUGCUUAACAUAUGCAAGUCGAACGGCAGCACGGUAUGUAGCAGUACAUAUGGGUGGCAAGUGGCGGACGGGUGAGUAACGCGUAGGAAUCUGCCCUCAAGCGGGGGACAACCCGAGGAAACUCGGGCUAAUACCGCAUAAACUCGGAAGAGAAAAGCUGGGGUAACCUGGCACUUGAGGAGGAGCCUGCGUCUGAUUAGCUAGUUGGUAGGGUAAAGGCCUACCAAGGCGAUGAUCAGUAGCUGGUCUGAGAGGAGGACCAGCCACACUGGGACUGAGACACGGUCCAGACUCCUACGGGAGGCAGCAGUGGGGAAUAUUGGACAAUGGGGGAAACCCUGAUCCAGCAAUACCGCGUGUGUGAAGAAGGCCUUCGGGUUGUAAAGCACUUUAGUUGGGGAGGAAGGUUAGCAGUUUAAGAGAUGGCUAAUUUGACUGUACCCAAAGAAUAAGCACCGGCUAACUCUGUGCCAGCCGCCGCAGUAA